GGCUGGCUGGAGCCAUACUGUGGCUGCCAGCCAGGCUCUGAGAUUCAGGAGCACCAUAGCUGCAGCUCCCUGAGGCCCUCAGGACUUCAAAUAAGGUUGCUAGGGUCAGCCCAUUUUCUGGCCCCAGCCUCCUCUACUGCACCCUGGGGUAACAUGCCAUGUGCCAGCACACAUGUGGACAUUCCCCAGGGACAGGUGUGCUGGUGCUACUUGUCCUUGGGGAAGGAAACAUCCAUGCUUGUCUGGAUGGGGCCUUGGUGGUUUAAGGCAGUGACAUUGCAGCUAGGACUCCUGGGUUCUGCUCCUAAAUCUUCCAUCAACUUUCUGUGCAAACUUUGAGCUGAGCUGUAGUCACUUGCUAUCUGAGCGUCACUCUCCUCAUUUGUCGAAUGGAAGGAAAUGUAAGUUUCUGGGUGGAGAUUUGCCAAAUUUUAAUUGUGGUUAAUGUGUCAGGAGCUCAUGAGAUACAAUGAUCUCUAGAAGCCUGCUGGAUUUAUGUACAUAUGCCAAAAUAUGGGUUAAAUAUAACACAUAUGGAAAAUGAAAACUCAGUUGAAAAAUACAUUGUGGAGCACCUUCCAUUACUCCCCAAGUCAUAUUUAUCCUGUGUGAGCUGAUCCCAUCUCAGUCUGGUCAGAAAUACAGGGACUGUUUUCCUACCAAAUGAGGGGCCUUUAUUUGGGUUUGUCAUCAAGAAUCUGACAUGUCUUUCACUUGCAUUUCAGAAAUCACAAAAGUGUGGGACAAAGUAUUUGACUUGGUUUAUCAGAACCUCUCAACGAACAAGGUGGGGUCCUUCUGCUAUAUCAUCUUGUCUCCCAUAUACACUCUGGUUCAUUUUAUAAUGAGAAAUAAUGUCUGUAUUUAAAAAAAAAAAAGCAAAAGAUAACAAAUAUCUCUACUCCUACCAGACUGGUGGAGUUGUGCACAGCUGUACACUGCUGUGUUUCCCUCUUUGAGCUGAGACAUCUCAGCAGAUGUCUCAAUAUAAUUCAAGUCCUCGGGAGAACCAGGUCCUGUGAAGUGGAAGCUUCCCUCGGUUGUUUAGAGAAGACCUUGUCUGCCUCCUCCUCCGGGUUUGGUGGCCUGUAGCAGACCUGCCAUGACAUCCUCCUCCCCUGUAACCUUUCCUGAGAGGGUUUCAGCUGGCCCACCUUCCAGUUGAUACCAUACCUCAGAAAACAUGCACAUUGCCUUAUUGUUAGUGCA